UACGCAUGGCAUAUUAAUUUAAUCGCGCUAAAUAAGAUUUGAACAAGUCUAUAUGUCUGUUUGAGCAAAACAAUGUGUCGUAAUCUUCUUCUUUCGCAGCGUAACGUAUUCUACGAGUAUUCUAACCGACUUCCUUCUGAUAUCUGAACAAAGAGAUAAGCUACCGUUGUGCGUGCUGAAAUACGAAUUUGAAUUUGUAUUCUUCGAAAAUAAUACAGCUGGUUAACGAACAAUCAUAAAAACUACAUGAUAGAACGGGUUAUCAGCCAUUUAGACUUGUUCCCGAAAACAAUGGCGAUGCGUUUUGCUCGUUUCAUUCUUUGUGAGUUUGAUUCUUCGUAGUUCGAAAGACGGUAGAUGGGGGACCUCUUAGAUGCCACCCCAAUGAGACUAAUCCAAAAAAAAGCCAUAGAUAUAGCUUCGUGACUUAGACUUGCAUACCUGUGAAAUUCAUGGAAUUCUUAUGAGAUUUUAAAUCGAUAAUAUCCCCAUAAUACUGUUCAAAUGUUAAUUUUUUAACACAAAGAAAAUUGGAUAAAUCUGUAUUGAGAGAGAAUGAUUUUGUUGUAGGAACAAAUUAAGGGAAAACAAAUAAUAAAUGAUAUUUGUUAAAAAAAACUGUCUCUCAAACGGCGUUUUAUAAGAUAAUGUAAUAAUAAACAUUUGCAAACACGCAUUGUUGUAUAAAAUACUUAAUACAAUGUAUUCGUACUUAAAAUGGUACCCGGUAGUC